UGGGGAAUUUUGGACAAUGGGCGCAAGCCUGAUCCAGCCAUGCCGCGUGAGUGAAGAGGGCCUUCGGGUUGUAAAGCUCUUUCGGCGGGGACGAAACGGUUCGUGACAACACCACGGACUAAUGACGGUACCCGCAUAAGAAGCACCGGCUAACUACGUGCCAGCAGCCGCGGUAAUACGUAGGGUGCAGGCGUUAAUCGGAAUUACUGGGCGUAAAGCGUGCGCAGGCGGUUUGUUAAGACAGGUGUGAAAUCCCCGGGCUUAACCUGGGAAUUGCGCUUGUAACUGGCAGGCUAGAGUGUGGCAGAGGGGGGUGGAAUUCCACGUGUAGCAGUGAAAGGCGUAGAUAUGUGGAGGAACACCGAUGGCGAAGGCAGCCCCCUGGGUUAACACUGACGCUCAUGCACGAAAGCGUGGGGAGCAAACAGGAUUAGAUACCCCCGUAGUCCCUGAGCGGGCUGGCAAGGCGCAU
rnacentral:rRNA from 1 species